AAUAUAGACUUGAAUCACCGUUAAAAAGAAACAGAUCAUCCCAUAAAAAAAGAUAUCUCACGUCCUAAAACAAGAAAUAUGAUCACAUAAUUUCCUUCUCCUUUAGUCGUGACACAAUAAACAUGAGAUGUCUUUCUAUAAAAAAAAGAGGAGAUGUCACGUAAUCUCCAUUAAUCUCUCAUCUCCCACGCUGAACAUGCCAAAGAUAUCUCACGUCCUAAAAGAGGAGAAAUCAUCACAUAAUUUCCUUCUCCAUUAAUCGUGACACAAUAAACAGGAGAUGUCAUUCUAUCAAAAAAAGAGGAGAUGUCACGUAAUCUCCAUUAAUCUCUCAUCUCCCACGCUGAACAUGCCAAAAUUUCUGUAGCUUUCCUUCUCUAGCACGACAACAUUAGAUCUCCAUCUAAUCUCCAACUAUUUUGCUGUAGCUUUCCUUCCCCAGCACGAUAUUCCUCAUCUCCAUCUAAUUCCUCAUCUUCUACACUUUUCUGCCGAAAAUAUUCAAUCUUUCCUCACCCUCGAGACGUGAGUUCCAUCCAUGAAACCUUUGCCGGAAGAAGGAGAAGAUCGCAGAGGACGGCCUUAAUUCAGUCCACCAACACAUCUAAUUUGGUGGAUGCCAUGGAUACAAGCACAUGCAAAUUUCUGUAGCCUUUCUUCUCUAGCACGAAUCCUCAAUCUUCUUCUCCCUCACGAGUUGAGUUCGAUCCGAGCAACCUCUGCUGGAAGAAGGCCCAGAGUGCAGACAACGGCCCUGAUCCAGUCCACCAGCAGAUCUACUUUGGUGGAUCUUCUCAAAAAAUAAUCUACUUUGGUGGAAGCCAUGGAUGCUUUGGUGGAAGCCAUGGAUGCAAGGACAUGCAUGUACAGAUGAAACAUGACCAGCAAGGGUGUUCAUGGGGUGGCGCAUACUUGACCCGUAGAGAUCUAUGCUGCUUUUUUAGGAUGCAGAAAAUUAGUGAUGUAUUAUGCUACACCAAACCCAUUGUAUCAUCAACGAUUGGACCACCAGUUUUUAAA